rnacentral:rRNA from 1 species
GAUGAACGCUGGCGGCGUGCCUAAUACAUGCAAGUCGAGCGAACAGACGAGGAGCUUGCUCCUCUGACGUUAGCGGCGGACGGGUGAGUAACACGUGUAUAACCUACCUAUAAGACUGGGAUAACUUCGGGAAACCGGAUCUAAUACCGGAUAAUAUAUUGAACCGCAUGGUUCAAUAGUGAAAUACGGCUUUGCUGUCACGUAUAGAUGGAUCCGCGCCGGAUUAGCUGGUUGGUAAGGUAACGGGUUGCCAAGGGAACGAUGCGUUGCCGACGGGGGAGGGUGAUCGGCGACCCUGGAACUGAACCACGGUCCAGACUCCUACGGGAGGCAGCAGUAGGGAAUCUUACGCAAUGGGCGAAAGCUUGACGCAGCAACGGCGCGUGAGUGAUAAAGGUCUUCGGAUCGUAAAACUCUGUUAUUAGGGAAAAACAAAUGUGGAAGUAACUAUGCACGUCUUGACGGUACCUAAUCAGAAAGCCACGGCUAACUACGUG